GGGGCUGUGGUUCAGUGGUAAAAAUACCUGCUUGGUAUACUGAAGGUCCCAGCUUCAAAACUUGGCAGCUUCA
rnacentral:tRNA from 1 species